rnacentral:lncRNA from 1 species
CUCAUAUUCUCUACCUCAGGGCUCCGCCCCGUGAGAGCAGGAACCAAGGCUGAAUUUGUCUUUGUUGCUGCAGCACAGAAAUAAUUGAUGGAAAGUGCUUAGCACAGUGUCUGGCUCCCAGUGAAGAUGCCCUUGGCUGCUACAGCUUUGUGGAAACUUUACCCUAAAUAACUGCAACCACACAGAAUGUGUUGUGCUUUUUUGCAGAGACAGAGUCUCGCUCUGUCACCCAGGCUGGAACACAGUGGCACAAUCUCAGCUCACUGCAGCCUCGACCUCCCAGGCUCAAGUGAUAACUUUCUACCUCAACCUCCCAAGUAGCUAGGACCACAGGUGCUAGGACUACAGGCAGGUGCCACCACAUCUGGCUAGUUUUUAAUUAAAAAAAAAAUUAUAUAAAUGGGUCUCACUGUGUUUCCCAGGCUGGUCUCCAACUCCUAAGCUCAAACAGUUCUCCCACCUCAGCCUCUCAAAGGGCUGGGACACAGCACUUUGGGAGGCUGAGGCGGGCAGAUCACAAGGUCAAGAGAUCGAGACCAUCCUGGCCAAAAUGGUGAAACCCGUCUCUACUAAAAAUACAAAAAUUAGCUGGGCGUGGUGGUGCGUGCCUGUAGUCCCAGCUACUCGGGAGGCUGAGGCAGGAGAAUUGCUUGAACCUGGGAGGCGGAGGUUGCAGUGAGAGGAGAUUGCACCACUGCACUCCAGCCUGGUGCCUGGCAAUGGAAUGAGACUGUCUCAAAAAAAAAAAAGUGCUGGGAUUACAGGUGUGAGCCACCAUGCCCAGCCAGAAUGUAUUAUCUCACCCAAGAAGAGGGCUUCAGGCAGGGCGCGCCAGGUUUGGAUAAUUCAGAGCUCAACAGCUUCCAGGUUCUUCCUACUCUGCCAUCCUCAGAAUAUAAGCUGCCUUCUCAGGUGGAUCUCCUCAUGGUGAAAGAAUGGCUGCCACAGACUCAGACCUCAAGCCCACAGCGAGACACGACAACAUCUGGUAAUUAAACUCAACACCUCCAGGGUGAUUAAAAGUUAAUUUGGCAUUCAACAGGCCCGGAAAUGAAAUUCCGUGAGAAACACACUUGGUGAGCCUGGUUAGAUGUAAUUAGAACAUAGUCCUGCUGGGGGAAGAAGAGAAAGUACGGCACUGGCACAGCCACAGAGGUGACAGCAGGGAGGCGGAUGCCGAGGUUACGCGGA